UACAGAGGGUGCGAGCGUUGUCCGGAAUCACUGGGCGUAAAGGGCGCGUAGGCGGUGAUCUAAGCGUGCGGUGAAAGCUCGGGGCUCAACCCUGAGUCGGCCGUGCGAACUGGGUCACUGGAGCACGGUAGAGGCCAAUGGAAUUCCGGGUGUAGCGGUGGAAUGCGUAGAGAUCCGGAAGAACACCGGUGGCGAAGGCGGUUGGCUGGGCCGUAGCUGACGCUGAUGCGCGACAGCGUGGGGAGCAAACAGGAUUAGAUACCCUGGUAGUCCACGCCGUAAACGAUGGGCACUAGGUCCUUGGGGGAGCGACCCCGUGAGGGCCGGCGCUAACGCAUUAAGUGCCCCGCCUGGGGAGUACGGCCGCAAGGCUGAA
rnacentral:rRNA from 1 species